AAUUCCCGGAGUACCGGUAAAAUGCGCAGAUAUCGGGAGGAACACCGGUGGCGAUAUCGGCACCCUGGGUUGCGCCUGACGCUGAGAGACGACAGCUAGGGGACCGAACAGGAUUAGAGACCCUGGUAGUCCUAGCCGUUAACGAUGGAUGCUAGGUGUAGGAGUGAAGAGCUUCUGUGCCGCAGCGAACGCGAUAAGCAACCCGCCUGGGGAGUACGGCCGCAAGGUUAAGACUCAAACGAAUUGACGGGGACCCGCACAAGCAGCGGAGCGUGUGGUUUAAUUCGAUGCUACACGAAGAACCUUACCUGGGAUUGACAUAUGGGUGGUAGUGAUCCGAAAGGAGAGCGACCCUUCGGGGAGCCUAUACAGGUGCUGCAUGGCUGUCGUCAGCUCGUGCCGUGAGGUGUCGGGUUAAGUCCCGUAACGAGCGCAACCCUUGUCCUUAGUUACAAGUGUCUAAGGGGACUGCCGGCGGGAAGCCGGAGGAAGGUGGGGAUGACGUCAAGCCAGCAUGGCCCUUAUAUCCAGGGCGACACACACGCUACAAUGGUCGGUACAGAGGGCAGCGAAGCCGCGAGGUGGAGCGAAACCCAGAAAGCCGGUCGUAGUUCGGAUUGCAGGCUGCAACUCGCCUGCAUGAAGUUGGAGUUGCUAGUAACCGCAGGUCAGCCAUACUGCGGUGAUACGUUCCCGGGUCUUGACACACCGCCCGUCACGUCAUGGGAGUCUGUUACGCCUGAAGGCGGUAGCCUGACCGCAAGGGAGGCGCUGUCGAGGGCGGGGCUGGCAACUGGGACGAAGUC
rnacentral:rRNA from 1 species